rnacentral:rRNA from 1 species
UACGUAGGGCGCAAGCGUUAUCCGGAAUUAUUGGGCGUAAAGAGCUCGUAGGCGGUUUGUCGCGUCUGCCGUGAAAGUCCGGGGCUCAACUCCGGAUCUGCGGUGGGUACGGGCAGACUAGAGUGAUGUAGGGGAGACUGGAAUUCCUGGUGUAGCGGUGAAAUGCGCAGAUAUCAGGAGGACCACCGAUGGCGAAGCCAUGUCUCUGGGCAUUAACUGACGCUGAGGAGCGAAAGCAUGGGGAGCGAACAGG